rnacentral:rRNA from 1 species
CUCCUACGGGAGGCAGCAGUGGGGAAUAUUGCACAAUGGAGGAAACUCUGAUGCAGCGACGCCGCGUGAGUGAAGAAGUAAUUCGUUAUGUAAAGCUCUAUCAGCAGGGAAGAUAGUGACGGUACCUGACUAAGAAGCUCCGGCUAAAUACGUGCCAGCAGCCGCGGUAAUACGUAUGGAGCAAGCGUUAUCCGGAUUUACUGGGUGUAAAGGGAGUGUAGGUGGCCAUGCAAGUCAGAAGUGAAAAUCCGGGGCUCAACCCCGGAACUGCUUUUGAAACUGUAAGGCUAGAGUGCAGGAGGGGUGAGUGGAAUUCCUAGUGUAGCGGUGAA